GACGAACCGUGCGAACGUUGUUCGGAAUCACUGGGCUUAAAGGGCGCGUAGGCGGCUCCGCAAGUCGGGGGUGAAAUCUUUCGGCUUAACCGGAAAAGUGCCUCUGAUACUGCGGAGCUCGAGGGAGGUAGGGGCGGACGGAACUUCCGGUGGAGCGGUGAAAUGCGUUGAUAUCGGAAGGAACGCCGGUGGCGAAAGCGGUCCGCUGGCCCUCUACUGACGCUGAGGCGCGAAAGCCAGGGGAGCAAACGGG
rnacentral:rRNA from 1 species